GGCGUGGGCAGCAGGCCUGUGCGGCCAGCAGUGUUGGGUUACCCAGUGACAUUCAAUUGUUCCUAGGAGAGGAGGCCCGUUUUGGCAGCUCAGAGACCUGGAUUCCAGGAAGCCCUGCCUGCCUGCUUUCCUGUUUGCCUCUCAUCAGUGAGCUGGCUGGUAUCGCUGUUCCUCUGGUUACAUAACCCAGCCUGCUUCUCGCCGUCAUCUGUGGCCAGCAAGAAGACAGGACUGCGGGCUGAAGGGGCGACGUGGGUAGCUUAGCGCUUCCCAGACGGACCCAGCUGGAAAGGCUGCAGGAAAUGCAUCUAACCUGAGAUGGGGCCAGCGCCUCGGCCUUGCAGAGGGGUCCCCAAGUGGCAGCACCGCCCUGCUGGAGGAGGCCCAGGAAUCAAACUCAGGACUGUAAGCUGAUCAGAUGGCUGGGUAAUUUUGAAUAAAUUUCUAAAACUGA